rnacentral:lncRNA from 1 species
GGAGAUGAGGUUACAUUUUUUGUCUUUGGUUCUUCUGAUCAAUAGAUCAGAUUUUUAGUUUCUCUUUGGAGAUUUUUUUUUUCAUGGCGAUUUUGGAGUGUAGUUUCAGUUUAAUCAGAACAGAUCUCCAAUCUUUUUAUUUUUUAUAAAAUUUAAAUUAUUUUUUAAAACUUUAUAUAUUAUUCUAAUGAAUCAAUUAAAAUCAAUAUAUCAUAUAAGGUUAAAUAUUCAAUUUAAUAAAUAUUAAUAAAUCAUAAAAUUCACAGAAUAUCUAUAAAAUUAGUUUUUUAUUUAUUUAUUUUCUAAUUACUAAAAACAAAAUUAAUUAAAAUAAUUGUUUGAGCAAAUUUUAAAUCAAUUUUAUAUUCUGAAGAAACUAAUACUAAAUAAAAUAAAAUAAAAAUAAUUAUAGAAAGAAAGAAUAUUUAGGUAACACAAAAACAAAGGUAAAAGGAAAAAUAUUUUGUGAGAAAGUGAUUAAAAGUGUUUAAAAAAGUAAAGAAUAAAAAAAAAUUAAAAGUGAAAAAUAGUUUAGGUAACACAAAAACAAAGGUAAAGGCAAAAAAUAUUUCUUGACAAAGUGAUUAAAAGUGUUUUAUUUUAGUCUAAUUUUUAAAAGCAAACUGAAUAAAAAUGAUUGUUUGAGUAAAUUUCAAAUAAAUUAUAUUUUUGAAGAAACUAACACAAAAUAAAAGAAAUUAUAUAUAAAAAAGGAAUAGUUUAGGUAAUUAACACAAAAACAAAGGUAAAAGGGAAAACUAUUUGGUGACAAUGAUCAAAAGUGUUUUUAAAAAAAUUGAAAGAAAUGAAGAACAGGAGGGGAGGCUCGAACAUGAAUUGGGCGAGGCACCAAUCGUCAAGAAUUAGCCGGAAGAACUAACACUUUCACUACGUACAUAUUUACUCAAAGGAUUUAUAUUAUUGAGCAUGUGUCACGUGCCACACUUAUUAGGUGUGUGAAUCCACCCCUACUUACAAGGCUUUAGCGUAUUAGGUGUCAUGAUUGUUAAAUAUUAGGACUAGAUAAUCGUGUGAAAGUGUAAGUCUGAGUCCCUGUACUUGUAGGUUUAACAUCACAUUAUCAAUGACUGACUUUCCUGUUGCUCACUCUCCCUUUACCCUUUUCGGGUGAGAUUGAGUAUUAGUUAGUAGUUGGACGUUGAACGCUUUUUUGCUACUUGGUAUUUUUAUUUUCUUUUAAUUUUUUUUUGAUUAUUCAGUUAAUGGAGAUGUUAUUUAAUUAUUAAUAAAGUGUGAUUUAGGAUAAAUUGAAGAUACAUGAAAAAGUGUUAUUGUAAGUGAUCCAACAUUCUCUAGAAAGGAUGUGAUGAGUGUUAUAUUCUUAAGCGGUGAUUUCUGAAUGACCCUUUCUUGCAUGGCUAACUUUGUGUGUAUAUAUAUAUAUUGAUUAGUUUUGCCAGUUCAUUUUAUUUUUCUCUUCUAAUUGGCACUCCUCACUUUGUGUUAAUUUUCCUUUUAAGUAUUCUUUAUCUUGAGCCUGUCUAAAAUCUAAAAUAGGUCAUGUGAAGGAAGAGAAGCCCAUCUACAAUAAAAUGGUUUGUAACAAUUUUUAAAAAUAUAAAAUGAGAUACAAACUCACAGCCACGAGAAAAUAAAGACAACGAUAAAAAAAUAUUUAAAAGAAAAACAAAAGAAAAAUAUGGUUUGACAGCAAAAAAAAAAUAUUUUCAAAACUAUUGAAAUAAUCUAUAAUUUUUAGAAACAACUACAAAAUAGAAAAGAAAUAAAAAAAUUAGAUAUAUUCAGUUAAAUAAAAGGAAAGAGGACCACAAAUAGUUGAAAAUAAAAUAUAUCAUAACUAAAAUGUAUAUUAUACAUAUAUGUUAAGAUUAUAUUGUAUACAGUGAAUCAUAGAUAUGUCAAAUUUUUAUUGAUUACUUUUAUCAAAGAAAAAAAUAAUAUCCAAUUAUAGCUUGGUUCAUAUGGUAUCAGUAAUUUACUAAAAAGGUACCUUACACUUAGCAUAUAUAUCAUCUCAUAAAAGUAUUUGAUUUUCUGAAUUGUAACAAUCUUUAUUAACAUAUAACAUUUUUACAUUUUUGUAAUAGUUAAACAUGUGUUCCAAUAGUCUGUCAUACUCCAAAAAAAAAAACAAAUCGUUUUCGGUUCGGGAAUUGUGAAAAAUAAUCCACAACAAUUGUAAAUGUAACAUAAGAAGAAAUGUAAAAUAUUCUUCUUCUUUUUUGCGAAAAUUUAAAUAUCAUAUAGAUGAUUUGAAGAUCUUAAUUCUUAGGUCAGAGCCACUUCAGAAAAUAGAAAAAAAAAAAACAAGGCGGAUCAAUAGAAUGUUUACUUUGUUUGAAUGACUAUAAAGUUUUGUUAGGGAUAAUUCAGACUAUGUUAAAUUAAAAUUAUCAUUUGAGCGGUAAAACUUUCACAAUGCGAUUUACACCCAUCAUUUAUAUCUUUGAUUUUUUAUUUGUAACAGUUAUUGGUUGGUAAAAUAUCUAAUUAUCGUAUGGAUAAAAUGAGAUAAUGAAAUCUUUCUGUUCAUUAUCUUUAAUCUAUUAAAUUUGUGACCCUCAUAUAUCUGUAUAAAACGAACCUAUUACAUAACGAGAACAAUAUAGUUUAUCUUUAAUUUUCACAUUCUCUAA